rnacentral:rRNA from 1 species
CCUACGGGUGGCUGCAGUGAGGAAUAUUGGUCAAUGGGCGCGAGCCUGAACCAGCCAAGUCGCGUGAGGGAAGACGGCCCUACGGGUUGUAAACCUCUUUUGCCGGGGAGCAACGGGCGCCACGUGUGGCGCCACUGAGAGUACCCGGAGAUAAAGCAUCGGCUAACUCCGUGCCAGCAGCCGCGGUAAUACGGAGGAUGCGAGCGUUAUCGGGAUUUAUGGGGUUAAAGGGGUGCGUAGGCGGAGGGUUAAGUCAGCGGGCAAAGUGGGGGGCUAAACCCCUUCCCGCCAUUGAAACUGGCGCUCUUGAGUGGAAGAGAAGUAUGCGGAAUUCGUGGUGUAGCGGUGAAAUGCAUAGAUAUCACGCAGAACCCCGAUUGCGAAGGCAGCAUGCGGGCUUCCUACUGACGCUGAAGCACGAAGGCGUGGGGAUCGAACAGGAUUAGAUACCCUAGUAGUC